CAGACUGUACUUUCAGGGAUCAUUUUUAUAGUUCUUUACUAGAAAAGUUCCUUUCUAAAUAAGACUUCCCAGACUCCAGUUAGUGAAUUAGUCCUUUAUCACAAUUGGG
rnacentral:snoRNA from 1 species